UUUAGUAAUUGCGAAUGAACAAGGAUAUGCUUAGCUUGACAAAUGGAGCUAUUGGCUUUGAAUUGUAUUGUGGAAAUGUAUUACCAACAGAGGUGCAGGUGCCAGCCUAUUGAAAUAAAGCGUCAAUGAGGGUGAGAAUCCUGUUUGUCAUGUGCAGCCCUUUGUGCACGGUGUAUAUUUGCUGAGUCACACUCCUUGGCAUUGGAAUGCAAAGUGGGUGGUAAGUUUCAUGUAAAGGUAAACAUGCAAUUGAGACUGAUAGCACACAAGUACCAUGAGGGAAAUAUGAAAAGGACUUUGAAAAGAGAAUUAAAUGAGUUUGUAUUUGCUGAACACAAAGUAAACAGACUUGAUUUGCUUGGUGGGAGUGUUGCACUUGCUUGACAAGAGCUUUGGGCUGUGGGUGUAAUGAUUCUUUCUUUGCAUGCCAGUUUCUAUUUGUACAUCUGAUUACCUUUGCACAUGAAUGAUAAGUCUCCUGUGGGGGGUGGAUUGCAUGUGCAUGUAAUGAUUUGUGUUUUGAUAAAUGUGUCUGGUGUAUGUGUGUGUUCCUGUGCUUGGGGAUGCUUCCUUCCUUGGACUUACAAGCCCUGACACACACAUGCUGGCAAAAUGCUUCUGCUUGACCCGUCUUGAAACACGGACCAAGGAGUCUAACAGAUGUGCAAAGUUUGAAGGUGGUAUACCUUUGUGUGCAAUGAAAGUGUCAGCUGGGAUAUGUGCACCAGCACCCAAUUAAUUAGCGGACAGAGGUUUGAGUUGGAGCAUAUCUAUUAGGACCCGAAAGAUGGUGAACUAUGCCUGAACAGAAUGAAUUCAGAGGAAACUCUGAUGGAGGUUCGUAUCGAUACUGACGUGCAAAUCGUUCGUCAUAUUUGGGUAUAGGGGCGAAAGACUAAUCGAACCAUCUAGUAGCUGGUUCCCUCCGAAGUUUCCCUCAGGAUAGCUGGAGUUGCUCAGUUUUAUCAGGUAAAGCGAAUGAUUAGAGGAAUUGGGGACAGGUUUGUCUUUGACCUAUUCUCAAACUUUAAAUGGGUAAUAUGUAGUGGUUGCUGUAUGGAA
rnacentral:rRNA from 1 species